GCCAGUAUAAUGUAGUGGUUUCAGUGCUGGACUAGAACUCCAGGAGACCAGGGUUCAAAUCCCUGCUCAGCCA